rnacentral:rRNA from 1 species
AUUGAACGCUGGCGGCAUGCUUUACACAUGCAAGUCGAACGGUAACAGGUCUUCGGAUGCUGACGAGUGGCGAACGGGUGAGUAAUACAUCGGAACGUGCCUAGUAGUGGGGGAUAACUACUCGAAAGAGUAGCUAAUACCGCAUGAGAUCUACGGAUGAAAGCAGGGGACCUUCGGGCCUUGUGCUACUAGAGCGGCUGAUGGCAGAUUAGGUAGUUGGUGGGGUAAAGGCUUACCAAGCCUGCGAUCUGUAGCUGGUCUGAGAGGACGACCAGCCACACUGGGACUGAGACACGGCCCAGACUCCUACGGGAGGCAGCAGUGGGGAAUUUUGGACAAUGGGCGAAAGCCUGAUCCAGCAAUGCCGCGUGCAGGAUGAAGGCCCUCGGGUUGUAAACUGCUUUUGUACGGAACGAAAAGCCUGGGGCUAAUACCCCCGGGUCAUGACGGUACCGUAAGAAUAAGCACCGGCUAACUACGUGCCAGCAGCCGCGGUAAUACGUAGGGUGCAAGCGUUAAUCGGAAUUACUGGGCGUAAAGCGUGCGCAGGCGGUUUUGUAAGACAGUGGUGAAAUCCCCGGGCUCAACCUGGGAACUGCCAUUGUGACUGCAAGGCUAGAG